rnacentral:tRNA from 2 species
GUCCCCAUAGCUCAACGGAUAAAGCACUGGUCUUCGGAACCAGGGAUAGGGGUUCAAUUCCUCUUGGGGACG